UUAGAUUAGAGACAGAGAUUGAAAAUGC
rnacentral:piRNA from 1 species